GACGAACGCUGGCGGCGUGCUUAACACAUGCAAGUCGAACGGUAUGGCCCUUCGGGGUACACGAGUGGCGAACGGGUGAGUAACACGUGGGUGAUCUGCCCUGCACUUCGGGACAAGCCUGGGAUACUGGGUCUAAUACCGGAUAGGACCACUGCCUGCAUGGGUGGUGGUGGAAAGCUUUUGCGGUGUGGGAUGGGCCCGCGGCCUAUCAGCUUGUUGGUGGGGUGAUGGCCUACCAAGGCGACGACGGGUAGCCGGCCUGAGAGGGUGACCGGCCACACUGGGACUGAGAUACUGCCCAGACUCCUACGGGAGGCAGCAGUGGGGAAUAUUGCACAAUGGGCGCAAGCCUGAUGCAGCGACGCCGCGUGAGGGAUGACGGCCUUCGGGUUGUAAACCUCUUUCAGCACCGACGAAGCGCAAGUGACGGUAGGUGCAGAAGAAGGACCGGCCAACUACGUGCCAGCCGCCGCGGUAA
rnacentral:rRNA from 1 species